AUACUUACCUAGCAGGGGAGAUACCAUGAUCACGAAGGUGGUUUUCCCAGGCAAGACUAAUCCAUUGCACUCCGGAUGUGCUGAAACCUGCGAUUUCCCCAAAUGCAGAAAACUCGACUACAUAAUUUGUAGUGGGGGGGGGGCAACCGUAUUUGUGCUUUCCCUUG